rnacentral:rRNA from 1 species
GAUGAACGCUGGCGGCGUGCUUAACACAUGCAAGUCGAACGAAGCACUUUAUUUGAUUUCCUUCGGGACUGAUUAUUUUGUGACUGAGUGGCGGACGGGUGAGUAACGCGUGGGUAACCUGCCUUGUACAGGGGGAUAACAGUUGGAAACGGCUGCUAAUACCGCAUAAGCGCACAGCAUCGCAUGAUGCAGUGUGAAAAACUCCGGUGGUAUAAGAUGGACCCGCGUUGGAUUAGCUAGUUGGUGAGGUAACGGCCCACCAAGGCGACGAUCCAUAGCCGACGUGAGAGGGUGACCGGCCACAUUGGGACUGAGACACGGCCCAAACUCCUACGGGAGGCAGCAGUGGGGAAUAGUGCACAAUGGGCGAAAGCCUGAUGCAGCGACGCCGCGUGAGCGAAGAAGUAUUUCGGUAUGUAAAGCUCUAUCAGCAGGGAAGAUAAUGACGGUACCUGACUAAGAAGCACCGGCUAAAUACGUG